rnacentral:rRNA from 1 species
UACGAAGGGGGCUAGCGUUGCUCGGAAUCAUUGGGCGUAAAGCGCACGUAGGCGGUUCGUUAUGUCGGAUGUGAAAGCCCUUGGCUUAACCGAGGAAGUGCAUCCGAAACUGGCGAGCUAGAGUACGAAAGAGGAUCGCGGAAUUCCUGGUGUAGCGGUGAAAUGCGCAGAUAUCAGGAGGAACACCGGUGGCGAAGGCGGGUCUCUGGGCCGAAAUUGACGCUGAGGAGCGAAAGCGUGGGGAGCAAACAGG